UCGGGUUAAGUCCCAUAACGAGCGCAACCCCUAUCAUUAGUUGCCAUCGGGUCAAGCUGGGGACUCUAAUGAAACUGCCUACGCAAGUAGUGAGGAAGGCGGGGAUGACGUCAAAUCAGCACGGCCCUUACGUCCAGGGCUACACACGUGCUACAAUGGCCGAUACAGAGGGCAGCUACCUGGUGACAGGAUGCAAAUCUCCAAAGUCGGUCUCAGUUCGGAUCGGAGUCUGCAACCCGACUCCGUGAAGUUGGAUUCGCUAGUAAUCGCGCAUCAGCCAUGGCGCGGUGAAUACGUUCCCGGGCCUU
rnacentral:rRNA from 1 species